rnacentral:rRNA from 1 species
CCUACGGGAGGCAGCAGUAAGGAAUAUUGGUCAAUGGAGGAAACUCUGAACCAGCCAUGCCGCGUGCAGGAUGACUGCCCUAUGGGUUGUAAACUGCUUUUAUACGGGAAGAAACCCCGCUACGUGUAGCGGGUUGACGGUACUGUAAGAAUAAGGACCGGCUAACUUCGUGCCAGCAGCCGCGGUAAUACGAAGGGUCCAAGCGUUAUCCGGAUUUAUUGGGUUUAAAGGGUGCGUAGGCGGCUUUUUAAGUCAGUGGUGAAAGCCUGAUGCUCAACAUCAGAACUGCCAUUGAUACUGAAGAGCUUGAGUACAGUUGAGGUUGGCGGAAUGUGUCAUGUAGCGGUGAAAUGCUUAGAUAUGACACAGAACACCGAUUGCGAAGGCAGCUAGCUAAGCUGUAACUGACGCUGAUGCACGAAAGCGUGGGGAGCAAACAGGAUUAGAUACCCUGGUAGUCCACGCCCUAAACGUUGAUAACUCGCUGUUGGCGAUAUACUGCCAGCGGCCAAGCGAAAGCAUUAAGUUAUCCACCUGGGAAGUACGGUCGCAAGAUUGAAACUUAAAUGAAAUUGACGGCUGAAGACGCGACGAAGGCACGACGGAGGGGAGAGG